GAACCGAGCACCGUUACGUUUGCUUCGCCUGCACUGGUUCAUAUUUCAACACAAGCUUCGAAGCAGGAGGGUCGGAGGUAACAGCACUAGUACAGGGCUCAUCCUUACUUCUCACUGCUCCACCACGUGAAGCAACCCUGGUGGUGGGACGCCCAGUGUGGAUUUGUGGACCAUCAACAGUCAUCAUCCUUGUGCUUAAUGUUGACCUGCUAGUGAUGUGGGGACAUUCAUUUUCAUUUCAUUCCCGUCUUCUCCUGGCCCAGAGUCACAGAGCUCUCAUAGCAGCCAGACAGCAGUGGGCUUCAGGACGGAUCCAGCGUCCGUCCGCCACAUCCGCCCUGGACUCGCCCUUCUCUAUAGACCUUCUAGUGUGGAAGCAAACGUCAUCCGUCGCAGCCCGAGUACUGGUCCAGUUCUGCAGUCCGUGUAACCCCCCUGCAGCUGUCGCUUAGAGACAGUGCAGAAUAUACACAAUAAAGGGGAAUAUUCCAUGAGGAGACUCAGACUGGUAAAUAGUUCAAUCGUCUGACAAGAAACGUCCACCCGAAUUACGCUUAACACGACAUGUUUAUUUAGAACACAAUUAGACGACCAAUAGUGCAACAAAUGGCCGAUUCCACACAUCAAAAGUGUCCAAGCAGCUAAUAUGUAAUAAUAAUAUAUAAUAUAAAAAACUUCAAUCUCAGUCUCAGAAGUUCAAUUGGAAAAAAAAUAUCUAAAAGAAGUAUUGUCCUAAAAUGUCCUACCACCUCUGUUUUCUUACGACUGCUUGGACACAAAAAUGUCAAAUAACACAGUUAGUGAAACCUGACACUCAAGGAGCAAAACACAAGCCCAGACCUGCACAACUAUAAGCACAUUCUCAGACUCACACUAUUGGCAAAAUACUACACAGUGUUUCCCUGUGUCCCGUAUCCCUCAACACACUUUUCUACAUUAGACACAGACAUUUUAGAUUAUGUCACUUAAUUGCCUUUUUAGACACUGCCUUAAAAAACGCCACAAAUGUGAACACACUGAUCAAACUCGGGCGACAUUGAGAGGCUGGACAGAGAGUUCAGCUCAACCUCAGCCGAUAAACUGUUCAACAUCAGUAAUACGGACAUUUCGCCAAGAGCACAGGUGAGAAUCACUUUUCUCUACUGUCUAC
ensembl:lncRNA